rnacentral:rRNA from 1 species
CAGUUCAGAUUGCAGGCUGCAACCGCCUGCAUGAAGUCGGAAUUGCUAGUAAUCGCGGAUCAGCAUGCCGCGGUGAAUACGUUCCCGGGCCUUGUACACACCGCCCGUCACACCAUGGGAGCCGGUAAUACCCGAAGUCAGUAGUCCAACCUCGUGAGGACGCUGCCGAAGGUAGGAUUGGCGACUGGGGUGAAGUCGUAACAAGGUAGC